rnacentral:rRNA from 1 species
CCUACGGGGUGCAGCAGUGGGGAAUAUUGGGCAAUGGAGGAAACUCUGACCCAGCAACGCCGCGUGAAUGAUGGAGGUCUACGGACGGUAAAGUUCUUUUCUAAGGGAAGAAUAAAGUGCCGGUACCUCAGGAAUAAGCCUCGGCUAACUACGUGCUAGCAGCCGCGGUAAUACGUAGGAGGCGAGCGUUAUCCGGAAUGACUGGGCGUAAAGGGUGCGUAGGUGGUUUGGCAAGUUAGUAGCGUAACUCCAAGGCUCAACCAUCGUACUACUACUAAAACUGAUGGACUUGAGUGCAGGAGGGGCAACCGGAAUUCCUAGUGUAGCGGUGGAAUGCGUAGAUAUUACGAAGAACCCCAGUGGCGAAGGCGGGUUGCUGGACUGUAACUGACGCUGAGGCACGAAAGCGUGGGGAGCGAACAGGAUUAGACACCCCGGUAGUC